CUCAAAGAUUAAGCCAUGCAUGUAUAAGUAUAAACGAUUUGAUCGUGAGACCGCAAACGGCUCAUUAUAACAGCAAUAAUUUACUUGAUCUUGACAACCUACUUGGAUAACUGUGGUAAUUCUAGAGCUAAUACAUGCACCAAAGCUCCGACCGUGAGGAAGGAGCGCAUUUAUUAGAACAAAACCAAGCGGCUUCGGCCGUCCAAUGUUGACCCAAAAUAACUCAGCUGAUCGCAUGGUCUUGAACCGGCGACGUGUCUUUCAAGUUUCUGCCUUAUCAACUUUCGAUGGUAGCGUAUGUGACUACCAUGGUGGUGACGGGUAACGGAGGAUAAGGGUUCGACUCCGGAGAAGGGGCCUGAGAAAUGGCCACUACGUCUAAGGAUGGCAGCAGGCGCGCAAAUUACCCACUCUCAGUAUGCGGAGGAGGUAGUGACGAGAAAUAACGAGACCGUCUUCUUAAGAGGCCGGUCAUCGGAAUGGGUACAAUUUAAACCCUUUAACGAGUAUCUAUGAGAGGGCAAGCCUGGUGCCAGCAGCCGCGGUAAUUCCAGCUCUCAAAAUGCRUAGAAUUAUUGCUGCGGUUAAAAAGCUCGUAGUUGGAUCUGUGCCAGCGUCCUGGUCCACUUUCGGGUGCGCACUGGGUUUCGCCGGCUUUUCUGCAGCAUUUGGGCCAGUGUCCUUCACCGGGCACUGGUUUUGUCCAGUGCUGCAAGUUUACCUUGAACAAAUCAGAGUGCUUCAAACAGGCGUUUCGCUUGAAUGUUCGUGCAUGGAAUAAUAGAAGAGGAUUUCGGUUCUAUUUUAUUGGUUUUAUAGACUGAGAUAAUGGUUAACAGAGACAAACGGGGGCAUUUGUAUUGCUACGUGAGAGGUGAAAUUCUUGGACCGUAGCARGACAAACUACAGCGAAAGCAUUUGCCAAGAAUGUCUUCAUUAAUCAAGAACGAAAGUCAGAGGUUCGAAGGCGAUCAGAUACCGCCCUAGUUCUAACCGUAAA
rnacentral:rRNA from 1 species